rnacentral:tRNA from 1 species
UGGGCGAUCGUUCAACGGCAGGACAGCGGACUCUGACUCCGUCAAUCAAGGUUCGAAUCCUUGUCGCCCAGCCA